rnacentral:tRNA from 1 species
CAAGUCUUCCUUAGAGGUUAUAUUAUUUACAAUAAUGUUAUGAUUGUGCAAUUCAUUCUGGCUUGA